CCGAAUCGUCGACACGAGUUGUUGCUGGCCCUCAAACGGGGGCAUGUGCACGCUCUGUUUGCAUCCACCCACACCUGUGCACCCUUUGUAGUUCUGUGGUUUGGGGGACCCCCCUCCUCCGUCUGCGGUUCUGCGUCUUUACACACACACUGUAACCUGGUCUUAUGGAAUGUACGCAGCGUUUAACGCAAUACAAUA
rnacentral:misc_RNA from 1 species